rnacentral:rRNA from 1 species
UACGGAGGAUCCAAGCGUUAUCCGGAUUCAUUGGGUUUAAAGGGUGCGUAGGCGGACUGAUAAGUCAGCGGUGAAAUCCCACGGCUCAACUGUGGAACUGCCGUUGAUACUGUCAGUCUUGAGUACAGAUGAUGUGGGCGGAAUAUGACAUGUAGUGGUGAAAUACUUAGAUAUGUCAUAGAACACCGAUUGCGAAGGCAGCUCACAAAACUGUCACUGACGCUGAGGCACGAAAAGCGUGGGGGAUCAAAACAGG